rnacentral:lncRNA from 1 species
UCUGUUGACAGACAGCAAACGAUCUGUUCAGCAGUUUCUGUUUAGCAUGAGGAAGGUGAUGUUUGCACUAUCUGAAAUAUCCCCUUUGAAAAUAGAGAGCUGCAUAUUUUUCAGAGUUUAUCUUAACCUAGAUGAAGUGUGCUGAAGCCUGAAGAGUGUGGACUUUUCUCUUUAUUUUUCCAAAGCAGUCCUGAAGUCUAUUUCCAACCUUAACAAAGUUGUAAUCCAAGUUUAUCAUCCUACAAGACAUCUGACAGAGAAGUUAAAUAGCACUCCAGAUACUGUUUUUAAAACUCACUUAGGGGGAUACAGGCAAGUUGGUGUUCAACAGGUGUGCAGUUGAGCUGGAUUCUAUGUCUUUACAGCUUAUAGGUGUAUACAAUUUUUAAAAUCCCAAGUAUUUUGAUGUCUGCCUUUACACCCUGCCUGGUUCCCCCUUUUGUGUUCAGUGCUUUCUUUGUGCCUGAGUGCCAAAUGACAUCUUAAAUUCUUGAGCCUUAUUUUAAAGAGAAAUUGCAUAACUUGGAAUGGUUAACAAUAUCUUCAGUACAAUUAUACUCUACGAAGCUUGCAGCUGCUGUUGCAGCAUUAAGUACGAACAUGCUGUUUAUUCAGGGUAACAACAAGGGGAAAUCAUCAGUGGAAAUCAUUUUUGCUGUCUAGGAUAAGGGAGUUCCAAAAAGUAGAGUCUCAGCAGAUGAGGCUUUUGAGCCUAUCUAGACAGGACUGUCUUUUCUUUAACAGCGGAUAGAAUGAUGGAUGGAGGGCUGCCAUUGCUCAGCUCUCUCUGAUGGAAUAACUUGGCACAUAAUCCUGUUUGUUUAAGGUUUUCAAAGGACAGCCAGACAAUCCUGAUAGCCGCAGUCAGCCCAAAAGCUACGCACACUGAGAAAAUCUCAAGUGCUCUGCACUGUGCCAGUCAAGCCUGCAGCAUUGUCAGUGAGGACAAAGUCAACAAGGAUUCCGGUAUAGCGCUGAUGGGAGUGUGGUGCCCAGCAGCUUGGGGCCACAGGACCGGUGCUGACAACCGUUCACAACAAAAGGAAAUAGAGGUUGACCUAAAUCCAAGAGAAUGUAUCCAUUACUUUGGAGACUGAGAGAAGAGAAUGAAGCUGAGAGCAGAGAGGCAACGUAGUCAAGGAAAUGAUAUGCUGAAACGUGAAGCAAGUUUCCAACGAUUUAGGAAGAACAAAUUUCUGAAUGGGCAAAAGGAGCUGGCAGAAAGAGAUGGCAGUAAGAAAUAAAUCAUCUUCCCCUGGGGGGGAGGACA